GGUUAUAGCUCAGUUGGUAGAGUGCUCGCCUAGUAGGUGUGAGGCACUGGGUUUGAUCCUCAGCACCA
rnacentral:tRNA from 1 species